CCUCAAAUUUUUUGUUCAGUGUUAUACCAAAAGAGCGAAGACAACAACCCAAGAACAGAAGAAAAUAGCCACUGGAAGGACAUACAGAGAUGUGAAAAUUUUCCUUGAAAAAGGAAUUUUUUCUCCAUGAAAAAUGGAAUUUUCCAGUAAUAAAUCAAAGUGGCAGACAAGCAAGCACAGAAAUAGUUGCCAUUUUAAUUAGUCCAUAAACAUUCUGCCCAGAAGAAAGAAAAAAAAUCGAAUCCAAGGAAAAUGCAAUGGGAGGAAGCACGACAAGCCCGGCUGCCCAAGUUUGUUCUUUCCAUUCGAAGUGGGAAAAAGGUUUUUAACAGGUCAAAUUUGCUAGGAUUCUUUGCUAGCUCAAACACAUGCAACACAAAAUGAAGGAAAUGGACUGAUCAUCAGGUGCUCAACAAAAUGUCUUAGCCAAAACUCUGUUGCCAAAGCCCCAACUACAACCGGUUGAGUUAAUGCAGUGCCCCUCGUAUGAAAAUCUUCAGUGACAAUCAGCACCGCAUAAUACAAGAAAACGCCGACAUCAUGACAAACUUCACGGUGAGUCUCUCGCCUUUGUCCAUGGCUCCAUCGUUUUAGCAUUUAAUGUGGUAGAGACAAGGUGUAGAUGGUGGCGUGAUUUGGAAAAAGGGCUGCAAUUCUCAGCCGUUGGCAGGCUAUCCUACUACCAUAGCAUGCUUGAGUUUGUUGACUUUUCUCAUGUAAUUGGCAGGCAAGCUCCCGGGUAUGUAUUGUUGGGCCAAGUAAUUAAUUUUUCUUGGGCCUCAUAGCAUUAUUUUGUGAUUAAAUGUUGGGCCCACUGUUACUUCAUUUCAUGGUAGCAUCUUUGUCAUGGG
rnacentral:lncRNA from 1 species